UGUGUAGGUGGCCAUGUAAGUCAGGUGCGAAAGCCCCGGGCUCAACCCGGGAAGUGCAUUUGAUACUGCGUGGCUUGAGUACCGAAGAGGGUAGUGGAAUUCCAGGUGUAGUGGUGAAAUACGUAGAUAUCUGGAGGAACACCGGUGGCGAAGGCGGCUACCUGGUCGAGUACUGACACUGAGACACGAAAGCAUGGGGAUCAAACA
rnacentral:rRNA from 1 species